CUUGUUUUGUCCAAUUUCUUAGAGAAUUCUCAUCUCUAGCUGGAUCCAUAAUCCCAUGUUCGCUUCCAGCUCAUUCCCAAGCCUGAAGUUCAGAGCUCCAGCUCGGUUGAGCAUCUGUCACAUGCCAGGUGCUUUAUACGCGUCAGCUUGUAACAGCAACCUUAGGAGUUGCCACCCAGCACCAUAUACUUACCCGCAUUUUAUCGAUGAGGACAUUUUGCAGUUGAGGACAGCUGAGACACACUGAGUCUGAGUAACUUCCCAGAUCACACAACCACAGUUGGUGGAGUGAGAUUUGAUUCUGGGAAAAAGCCAAAGCUACCACAUUGCUGGGGAGUUUUCCUGGGCCAGAGACCCUAGGAACAGAGAUAGAAAUAGGCUUAGGAGUUUUACUUUAAACCUUCUGAUAAAACUAUUCCAAUGAUAGGGAAUCAUGUGGACCCCCCAUUUCAUCUGCUAAUUUGUUUAAUCCAGUUUGAUGAUAUCGGAAGAAAUGGAGGAGGCAUGUUUUCCUUGUUAGGAGAGAGCCUAGUGGGAAGAAUGCACAGAACUCUUUGGUUUUCCUGCAAGGCUGUUUUAAUUCUAGACUGACUGUAAAGCUCCACAUUUACUCAAUAGAAGCAAGCAAUAGUGAGACCACCUGGCUGAGAUGUGGCUCGGAAACCUUCCUUUCAGAUGCUGGUGCUGCUGGAGUCAGGAAAGGCAGAGCUGCUGGGAGAAGUGAGCGACUCCAGAAGGGCCAGAGUGUUCCCUUUGCAGCUGCUUUUGGACAUUUCACUACCACCACCACCUUGAGAAAGCUAUCAUGGAUGUUGCCUUGCUGGGCCUGCAUUGCUGGGUCUUCAGCCUAUUGCCCAGUUUCAUUUCUUUGUGCAUCUUUAUGGCUUUGGGGAAAGAACACAGGAUGAGAAGCCAGGUUCUCUCACUGGAGGCUUCCAAGCAGUUCAUUUCCUGUCAGGGGUAAACAUGCAGAUACGGGGUGAUCCCUGACUCUUCCAGCAUUAACAUCAUGAGAUACCUUGUAUCCCAUGGCAGUCAAUGAAUGUAGGCUUAUGGCUGUUGUUUUCACUUGAUGAUGGUACCAGUCCAUCUGCUUGGUACAGUGGCAGCAUUUAGGCAAAAGCAUUCAUCACAGAUGAGAUGUUUCUAGCCUUUAACUACCUCACAGCUUGGGCUCAGAAGAAUCCUAAGGUCUGUGAAUUUACCCUCGCACAGUGAGGGAGCUGGGAAGAGAUCACUUCUGAAUGAAGGCAGAGGAUCCUUUUCUGUCUGGAUUGCAAGAAUAAUGGUGAGGAGAGAGAAGGAGACACACAUAAGACCGUCCAGGAAGGAAUAAAGUGGUUGAGGAAAGUGGACAUGCUGGAAGGGCUCUAUGUAAGCCAAAAGACCCAACUAGAGAAUGCAUCCCACGAGAGGAUAUACCAGUCCCCAAACCAUUGAAAUGCACUGAUGAGAGGGACACCAGCAUCACUAAGAAGUUGUGCAGGCUGGGGAUGAUGGAAGGAGAAAUGCUUACAAACUGAGCUUGUUAGCAUCUGCAGAAGUGAUAUAGGCCAGGAGGUGGCGCUUACCUGCCAGAAGCCAGGAGGCCAUAAUUACCUCACUCUUCAAAAGAUCCUCAACCAGCCCUUCUAUCUGGAGGCUUACCGAAUGUCUGAUCCACAGGAAUGGAAUCCCAUACAGCAGAGCAUCCAAGCAGGGGCUGUACUUCAGAUGCAGCUGGUGUGGAACCAGGGGCCCUCUGGCUGUGUCAUGUACUGCACCACCCAGAGAGAAAAGACACAGAUGAAGUAGUGGAAGAAUUGCUACCUGCUCCUGGGAUCAGGAAGGCCUCAGAUCCUCACACGCUCUGCGACUCCUGAGUUUUUCACUGAAUGCUAUUUUCCAUGUGCUUAUCAAAUGUGAGCGGUAAGUUUACUAGAUUUCUGACAGUCCUUUGAGGCAGCUUGUUUUAACUUCUUUAGACACUUGUACUCUUACCUGGGAACCGUUCCAUGGAACCCAAUACACACUUUUGUUGGGAAAAAGACACUGCUAAGUCCUGGGGACAAACAGAUGGAGAAGACACAGUUCCUGCCCUCAGUGGCUUCAUGUUUCUCAUGGAGAGACAGUGUGUCACUAUGCAUAACUUUGUUAAAGAGGGUAAUAAUUAACCAUGACACCAAGUACCAGAGGAACAGAAACUGGGAACCAUGGCGCUCACUGCCACGAAGGCAGGUUUGGGAAGAGAUGUCUUGAAGGAACUGUCACUGACAGGGAGCCAGAGGAAGCAUCAGGGUCUUUUCAAAUGAGUCAGCUCUUUGCAUCAGGUGGACAAACUAUUGGAGUUUCAACUUCAACAUCCGUCCUUCCAACGAACACCCAGGACUGAUCUCCUUUAGAAUGGACUGGUUGGAUAUCCUUGCAGUCCAAGGGACUCUCAAGAGUCUUCUCCAACACCACAGUUCAAAAGCAUCAAUUCUUCAGCGCUCAGCUUUCUUUAUAGUCCAAAUCUCACAUCCAUACAUGAUACUGGAAAA
ensembl:lncRNA